UGAAAGACGAUGAUGGAUGGUAAUCCUUACCGCAGACGCUGCAGAGAGCCGUCGGAUGCUGCGAGACGGUGCCGAGCGUAGGGAGACUGCUUCCGGAGUUGGUUUCGUGAACACCGUCAGGUUAUUAAGGAAACCCGGGCGCCCCGUAACAGGCUGAGAACUUGUCAGAGUUCAAGAGAGACUCCUGUUGCAGGAGUAAUAUGGGUGGUACCGCGGAGAAAUUGUUUUUCGUCCCUGAA
rnacentral:ncRNA from 1 species